AGGACGAACGCUGGCGGCGUGCUUAACACAUGCAAGUGGAGCGACGAACCAGGCUUCGGCCUGGGGCAGAGCCGCGAACGGGUGAGUAACACGUGGGUAACCUGCCCUGAUGAUUGGGACAACCCGAGGAAACUCGGGCUAAUACCAAAUGUGCCCUCUGGCCUCAAGGCCUCUGGGGAAAGGAGCUUCGGCCUCCGCAUUGGGAUGGGCCCGCGGCCCAUUAGCUUGUUGGUGAGGUAACGGCUCACCAAGGCUACGAUGGGUAGCUGGUCUGAGAGGACGAUCAGCCACACUGGGACUGAGACACGGCCCAGACUCCUACGGGAGGCAGCAGUGGGGAAUUUUGCGCAAUGGGGGAAACCCUGACGCAGCAACGCCGCGUGGAGGAUGAAGUCCCUUGGGACGUAAACUCCUUUCGAUCGGGACGAUAAUGACGGUACCGGGAGAAGAAGCCCCGGCUAACUUCGUGCCAGCAGCCGC
rnacentral:rRNA from 1 species